rnacentral:misc_RNA from 1 species
GAUUUCAUGUUAUUGUUAUUUUUCAUACACAGAUGUUUUGUUUCCAUGUCUAAGUUAUUGUUUUUCCAUGUACUGCCAUAUAUGUUUAGGUUUCUGACAAAAUAGGUAUAAUUAAAUUCCGCUGCUUAGAUUUAUUAUUUUGUUUAUAAAUGGUAUAAUUUAAAUGGUUAUAAUUAGAUUAGAGUGUAAAAUGGCUUGAGGUAGAUUAUCAUCUUUAUUGGCUGUCCGCCGCACAGAUUCUAGAACUCUACUUAAACUUAUUUUAUUUGAUAACAAUUUAUUAAAUUUUAAUAGAU